AUUUUUUUUUUGUUGAAUAAAAAGGAAAAAAAGAAGAAGAAGGUGAGACUCAUCUGAAAAUCAGGGUGGGAGAUGUUCUUCCAGUGGUCGGGUAUCAUCUAAAGGCUAUCAGCCACAAUGGUGUCCUUAAUCUCGUCCAAGGUGGUCCAGUAUAAGUUACAAAAAUGUGCUGCAAACAGAUUGUCCUAAUGCCAUUUAUCUUCCCAAAACCUUUUCUUGCUAUCCAAAGAAUAAAGGAAUUGCCUUUGCUGAAUUCCUAUCUGAGCUUCAUUGCUUCAACAAACCAAAUUCCUUAUAUGAGGAUUCCUUUGUAAAUCACCCUCCUUCCUGCAUGCCAUACUUUAUGACAAUUACUUGAAUCCACGGAGAGUUAUCGUGGUUCGCAAACCUCCGUAACCACUUGCCAAUGAGUGCCCAAUUGAUGAUUAUUAAGUCCUUUAUGCCUAUAUGACCAUCGUCCUGAGGAUGGUAGGCUUCCUUCCAAUUAAACAAAUGAUAAGUAUUUUGAUCAAUGACAUGGAGUAACUUGGCAAAUUUGAGAGAGCUUCCUUUCUUCAUAAGAGUGAAUAUUCUACCUCCUAAUGACAGGUAUUUGCUUUUCCAUGCCGAAUGUUUUCAUUUCAAGUCACUCUAUCGCCAAGCGGACUUACUAAACCUCAUAUAUCACACAUGAAUUUUGAAAAGGAAAAAAAUUCUACUGAGACAACAAUAUAACACCAUUAUAUGGUUUAAAUAGUUAAGUAUUUAUUUGAAAGUGCAUUGGUGAUGGCGUUGCUAAUUGCAUGCUUUCCUUGAUGACAUAUUCGCAAUUUUCCAUUUUGCAUUGGAGGGGAAUGCUCCCGAGGCCAUAGAACUGACAGAACAGCUAGUGCAUGACCUUUAUUUUUCAUGAACGGGGGAGCACACCACUUAAUUUUUUUAAAAAAAUGGAGCAAAAGAGUAUAUCAAUUCAGAGGUGGAAAACAAAGAGCCCUCCCACCUCGAUACAACACAAAACUAUAUCUACAAUGCAGCUGAACAAAACCUUUAAAAAAAGAAAAAAAAAAAAAGCAAAAAAGAAAAAAAACAUCUGCAACACAAAGCAAGCAACCACACCAUCACCGUUAUCCAAAACUUCUCAAAAUCAAAAGCAAAACCACUAAACAUGGCAUCCAACAGCAACACUCAUGCCAUAACCCGCCAUCAGCCAACCAGAGACACCAAUAGAAGCUCAACCAGAAAGUUGCCAAGAAAUCACAUACACUGCAAACCUUAGCCAUAGUUUCACCUGACUGUUCCAAAGAGCAAACUGCUUCUAAUGUCACUGGGGAAAUUCUUCAUGUUCCGCACAAAUCUAUAUCCUUCCACACCACUUCGCAUCUUUUCUAAGACAUCUGCUACUGAUUUGUUCUCGUGAGGCUAUCCGACAUUGGUCCUUUGCUCAUUGGCUAGACUUGGACAUCUCACUUGACUGGCUUUUUCUAGCUUUCCCUGCAGCAUCCUUGAUCCGCUGCCAUUCAGGGCUAGAAUGAUGAAUGACUCUUGCCUGCAAUGCUCAGACUAAGUCAUUUAGGUAUACAAUUAGAUUGGUGCUCUAGCAAGGAAGAGGUUCUAGACUCCUCGAUAUGCACUGCUGUGUUCAAACUCCUAGCAAAUUUUCAACCUCAUAGCCCAGAGCUUCAGAUUGGGCCAGGAUCUGCUGCAGAAAAACAAGAAUUUGCAUUUUGAUCUCUAAAGCCUUCAUUUUGUUGAGCUUGUCAGCUCUAGAAAAUGGUGAGGGAAUCAUCAGAGUACCCUUUACGAAUUAUAAGUGAGGGAAUCAUCACAGUACCCUUUAUGAAUUAUACUCUUGCCCUUCAAUGGAAAGCAAUAUUCACCUUAACUUUCAUGGCAUCACAGAAGCUCUGGAGUCUGCUGAGGCCAAGUUGAUACCAUUUGGUAAUGUCGACAAAUAUGUGGAGAAACUGGAAAUACGUCUUAUACUAAUUCUCUCUUCUAAGUUUCUAGCUAUAUUCUUUUAUUUACCACAAACCAACAUAUGGGCGUGUCCAAUAUGUGGGAAUUGAUUUCUACAUCCCACUCUUAUUUAUUAUCCCACUCUUAUUUAUUGCAGCAUCCUUGAGUUUGGAUUGCUAAAUGACAGACAUAUAUUGGACCUAUAUUGUGCAAACUGAAAAUCUGAGAACCUAUGCAUAUUUGUGGGCUAAGGAUCAUAUAAUUCAUCUUUAAUACUAACUGUUUGUUUGAUCUGUGUAGCUUAGAUAACAACAUUCAGGAUACUUGAUCACAUGCAGUAAUUUAAAGAUUGAUGGUGUUGGUUGAUACUAUCUAUUUCGCUGGUUGGCAACACAAGAUAUGAGGGAAUUCUCUGAAGUCAAGAGUCUUAUUGUAGAAUGGGCCCAAGUUCAUGGGGCAAUUCAGGGGAUUUUCUAAGGGUUUUCUUUGAUGUUUUGGGAUGAUUGAUGGUCAACCGGUUGUAUCCUUCUCACUUUCGCCCUUUAAAAUGCAAUUAAUGUGGAGAAAUCAUAUGUGAUUGUACGGUGAUCUACGGAUUGUUCACACUCUUUCAUUUUGGUUUUUGAAUGUAAUACUUGUAUUGUAGGAUAUUUGAAUGAUAUUAUUUCAUUUUGGAUAAAUAAUUGUAUCACUUCUGUUAGACAAUGUAUAAUUUAGGCCUCUGUACAAUGGAGACUUAUUGUGCA